rnacentral:rRNA from 1 species
CACGUAGUUAGCCGGUGCUUCUUCUGCUCCUACCGUCACCCGAAGGCUUCGUCAGAGCUGAAAGAGGUUUACAACCCGAAGGCCGUCAUCCCUCACGCGGCGUCGCUGCAUCAGGCUUUCGCCCAUUGUGCAAUAUUCCCCACUGCUGCCUCCCGUAGGAGUCUGGGCCGUGUCUCAGUCCCAGUGUGGCCGGUCACCCUCUCAGGCCGGCUACCCGUCGUCGCCUUGGUAGGCCAUUACCCCACCAACAAGCUGAUAGGCCGCGAGUCCAUCCUCCACCGAUAAAUCUUUCCACCCCAUACCCAUGCAGGUUGGAGUCAUAUCCAGUAUUAGCACCGGUUUCCCGGAGUUAUCCCAGAGUGAAGGGCAGGUUACUCACGUGUUACUCACCCGUUCGCCACUAAUCCACCCAGCAAGCUGGGCUUCAUCGUUCGACUUGCAUGUGUUAAGCACGCCGCCAGCGUUCGUCCUGAGCCAGGAUCAAACUCU